rnacentral:misc_RNA from 1 species
GCUACUACCGAUUGAAUGGUUUAGUGAGGACUCCUGAUUGGCGCCGCCGACCCGGCAACGGAGCAGCGGACUGCCGAAAAGUUGUUCAAACUUGAUCAUUUAGAGGAAGUAAAAGUCGUAACAAGGUUUCCGUAGGUGAACCUGCAGAAGGAUCAAGAUCGGCAGAUCGUCGUGUUGGGUAUGAUUUUAGAUCUCGGUUUUCGCCGUAUCCUUAAAAAUAAAUUCUUUCUUUCUUUCUUUUUUUUUCUUCUUCCUCUCCUUUUUCUCUUCCUUUCUC